GGUAGUCUAGCCUAGUGGUCCUUAACACAGAUUUGGGAGGGCGCCCGGCAGCGGUGCCGACCGCAAUAAGAAAUACAGGAUGGUGGGUUGCCACGCCGGGGGUCACCGGUUCGAGUCCGGUGGCGGGCAAUAGACCA
rnacentral:tRNA from 1 species